CUGGUUCUGUAUCACACACUAGCAAAAUUUCCUUCUGAGGCACAGAUGUUUCAAUGCUUUGAUCAACUUCACUGGCAUGCUCCACAGAAUCUGGCUCUAUGGCAACUGGUUCAAUAAUAUUUUCGUCUUGAGUAGGUGCUUCUACUUCAGUAACCAAGGCUACAGUAGUUUCCUCUUGGGGAGGUAGAGAUGUUUCUUUACUUGGAUCGACUUCUGUACCAGCAUGCUGCAUAGACUCUGGCGCUAUGACAACAGAUUCAGCAUUUUCCUUUUGAGCAGGCGCAUCUACCACUUUCUCUGCUUCUGGUUCUGUAGCGACAGUAGUUUCCUCCUGGGGAGCCGCAAGUGUUUCUGUGCCAUCAUGCUCCAGAGGAUCAGGAAUUACUGAAAUAGCAACAGGACUUUGAUGAUGAACUAUGGAAGCACAUAAAGUACCCAUUCCAAGUUCUGGACUACUUGCACCCUCCAAACCCGUUUGCUCCACAGUACAUGCUUGGACAGGAUAUGGUUCGGCAGGAACAAGAACAGACGCAACAACAGCAGUGGCUUCCGUCAUUUCCAUGGUGACAAAGUUGGAUGGAGCUGUGCCACUAUUUUCGUCUUGAGUAGGUGCAUCUACUUCAGUAACCAAGACUACAGUAGUUUCCUCUUGGGGAGGUAUAGAUGUUUCUUUACUUAGAUCAACUUCUGUGCCAGCAUGCUGCAUAGACUCUGGCGCUAUGACAACAGAUUCAGCAUUUUCCUUUUGAGCAGGUUCUGGUUCUGUAGCGACAGUAAUUUCCUCCUGAGGAGCCGCAAGUGUUUCUGUGCCAUCAUGCUCCACAGGGUCAGGAAUUGCUGAAAUAGCAACAGGACUUUGAUGAUGAACUAUGGAAGCAGAUAAAGUACCCAUUCCAAGUUCUGGACUACUUGCACCCUCCAAACCCGUUUGCUCCACAGUACAUGCUUGGACAGGAUAUGGUUCGGCAGGAACAAGAACAGACGCAACAACAGCAGUGGCUUCCGUCAUUUCCAUGGUGACAAAGUUGGAUGGAGCUGUGCCACUAUUUUCGUCUUGUGUAGGUGCAUCUACUUCAGUAACCAAGACUACAGUAGUUUCCUCUUGGGGAGGUAUAGAUGUUUCUUUACUUAGGUCAACUUCUGUACCAGCAUGCUGCAUAGACUCUGGCGCUAUGACAACAGAUUCAGCAUUUUCCUUUUGAGCAGGUUCUUCUGGUUCUGUAGCGACAGUAAUUUCCUCCUGAGGAGCCGCAAGGGUUUCUGUGCCAUCAUGCUCCACAGGGUCAGGAAUUACUGAAACUUCUUGCACUUCAGUGGCGGUAACCUUA
rnacentral:lncRNA from 1 species